rnacentral:lncRNA from 1 species
UUCGUGAUAAAAAUAUUUAAAUGUAAUCAGAUUGUAUUUACACAGUUGUAUUCAGGUGAAAAAAUCGCACAUGAAUGAAUGAAUUUGCGAUAUCUAAAUCGCUAUUGUUCAUUUUCAAUGUCAACGUAUUCCUUUACAAUUGCACUCACCCGUAUUUAUAAAGACCUCGUCGGCGGAAAAACUGACUUUCUUGUUCCACGUUAUUCGCUAUAAGAUCACCGCCAUCUUGAAUGAUUUGAAUGUUCAUAUUCCUUCCCUCCGCAAGGGCAUCUUUCGAAGCUUGAAGCUUAAUCGUAUCAUAUAUGUUUCAGGGCCGCUUCUCUUUUUCUUUCCAAGCGAAGCGGCCAUACUCCUCCCCGCACUCCGCACAUUGAGAUAUAUAUAUAUAUAAGUUAUGAAUUUCUAAUAAUCAUCACCCGUACUGCUUUGCAAUCCUCCCUCCAGUGACCAUAGGACGAGCAAGGUAAGAGACCUUGAGAAAUUCCUUUUUUUCUAUCCUUCUUUCCUUGAAUCAGCAGACGAACCAUAGAUGGAUAAGCAAAAUCGUAUGUGACAACUACACGUGCCUGACCAAUUGCAUUUUCCCCGACGCGAGGAAGUUUAACGUCACACCCAAUUCAGCUACGUCCGACAAGCACUCUCGGUACGGUGGUCCCUGAAGAGAUGAUCAUGUAAAUCGACCUGGGGGUCGACCGCAGUUGAGAAGGUUGAAGUUGGGGAAGGUGACGCCGACCGAAGGAAGGGUUUAAAGAAGAGAUUUGGUGGAAAAGAUGCAUGGGGUUUAUUACACCCAAUCAUUUAUAUUAUUACUCAGAUAUUUUAGUUGGGCCCAAUAUUUGUUGGGCCUUCAAUUGUAUUACAAUGUCAUAGAUGAUUAAAGACGAAAUUACAUCUUAAUUACUCUUCAAGUUUGAUUAAGUUACUUGAGGAGUGUCCUUCAUCAUCGUUAAUGGCUUCGACAAUCCAAUUAUCUACACAAAGACAAUGUUUUGCACUUUUGCUGAUUCCAGUUAAUGAUUUCAAUAAGAGUUUUUCUUGUUUUUGUGAUUAUGUUAUUGUUGUUUUUGUUCAUUGAAUUUCACUCGAGUUGUACUUUCUGCAAAAUUUAAUCUGGU